rnacentral:rRNA from 1 species
AGACCCGAAACCCGGUGAUCUAGCCAUGGGCAGGUUGAAGGUUGGGUAACACUAACUGGAGGACCGAACCGACUAAUGUUGAAAAAUUAGCGGAUGACCUGUGGCUGGGGGUGAAAGGCCAAUCAAACCGGGAGAUAGCUGGUUCUCCCCGAAAGCUAUUUAGGUAGCGCCUCGUGAAUUCAUCUCCGGGGGUAGAGCACUGUUUCGGCUAGGGGGCCAUCCCGGCUUACCAACCCGAUGCAAACUGCGAAUACCGGAGAAUGUUAUCACGGGAGACACACGGCGGGUGCUAACGUCCGUCGUGAAGAGGGAAACAACCCAGACCGCCAGCUAAGGUCCCAAAGUCAUGGUUAAGUGGGAAACGAUGUGGGAAGGCCCAGACAGCCAGGAUGUUGGCUUAGAAGCAGCCAUCAUUUAAAGAAAGCGUAAUAGCUCACUGGUCGAGUCGGCCUGCGCGGAAGAUGUAACGGGGCUAAACCAUGCACCGAAGCUGCGGCAGCGAACGUAUCACCCAAGACAACUUUACGGAGUUGACGAUUGACGGAGCGAAGCGACGUCAAAGCGUUCAUUAAAGUCGAGUUGGCUUAGGGAUACGUUCGUUGGGUAGGGGAGCGUUCUGUAAGCCUGUGAAGGUGUGUCGUGAG